rnacentral:rRNA from 1 species
GUGAACGCUGGCGGCAGGCCUAACACAUGCAAGUCGAACGGCAGCACAGUAAGAGCUUGCUCUUACGGGUGGCGAGUGGCGGACGGGUGAGGAAUACAUCGGAAUCUACUUUUUCGUGGGGGAUAACGUAGGGAAACUUACGCUAAUACCGCAUACGACCUACGGGUGAAAGCAGGGGAUCUUCGGACCUUGCGCGAUUGAAUGAGCCGAUGUCGGAUUAGCUAGUUGGCGGGGUAAAGGCCCACCAAGGCGACGAUCCGUAGCUGGUCUGAGAGGAUGAUCAGCCACACUGGAACUGAGACACGGUCCAGACUCCUACGGGAGGCAGCAGUGGGGAAUAUUGGACAAUGGGCGCAAGCCUGAUCCAGCCAUACCGCGUGGGUGAAGAAGGCCUUCGGGUUGUAAAGCCCUUUUGUUGGGAAAGAAAAGCAGCAGGUUAAUACCCCGCUGUUCUGACGGUACCCAAAGAAUAAGCACCGGCUAACUUCGUG